AACGAACGCUGGCGGCAUGCCUAACACAUGCAAGUCGAACGGGAUCCUAGCUUGCUAGGUGAGAGUGGCGGACGGGUGAGUAACACGUGGGAAUCUGCCUUUUGGUUCGGGAUAACCGCGGGAAACUGCGGCUAAUACCGAAUGCCCUCGAGAGAGGAAAGAUUUAUCGCCAGAAGAGGAGCCCGCGUCCGAUUAGGUAGUUGGUGGGGUAAAGGCCUACCAAGCCGACGAUCGGUAGCUGGUCUGAGAGGAUGAUCAGCCCACACUGGGACUGAGAUACGGCCCAGACUCCUACGGGAGGCAGCAGUGGGGAAUAUUGGACAAUGGGGCAACCCUGAUCCAGCAAUGCCGCGUGAGUGAUGAAGGCCUUAGGU
rnacentral:rRNA from 1 species